GACGAACCGUGCGAACGUUAUUCGGAAUCACUGGGCUUAAAGGGUGCGUAGCUGGUUGCCAAGUCUGUGGUGAAAUCCUCCGGCUUAACCGGAGAACUGCCGUGGAUACUGGCGACCUCGAGUGGGGUAGGGGCUUGCGGAACUGUGCGUGGAGCGGUGAAAUGCGUUGAUAUGCACAGGAACUCCGGUGGCGAAGGCGGCGAGCUGGACCCUAACUGACGCUGAGGCACGAAAGCCAGGGGAGCGAACGGG
rnacentral:rRNA from 1 species